CAGCCGCCACGGUAAUACGGAGGGUGCAAGCGUUAUCCGGAUUUAUUGGGUUUAAAGGGUCCGUAGGCGGACUUAUAAGUCAGUGGUGAAAGCCUGUCGCUUAACGAUAGAACUGCCAUUGAUACUGUAAGUCUUGAGUAUAUUUGAGGUAGCUGGAAUAAGUAGUGUAGCGGUGAAAUGCAUAGAUAUUACUUAGAACACCAAUUGCGAAGGCAGGUUACCAAGAUAUAACUGACGCUGAGGGACGAAAGCGUGGGUAGCGAACAGGAUUAGAUACCCCCGUAGUCCCUGUCUCUUAUAC
rnacentral:rRNA from 1 species